AUAGCCUUCAGGUGUCGCUGCAAAUCAGCGAUCGGCUUUGACAGGCUGAAAA
rnacentral:ncRNA from 1 species